AGUGAACGCUGGCGGUAGGCCUAACACAUGCCAGUCGAACGGCAGCACAGUAAGAGCUUGCUCUUACGGGUGGCGAGUGGCGGACGGGUGAGGAAUACAUCGGAAUCUACUUUUUCGUGGGGGAUAACGUAGGGAAACUUACGCUAAUACCGCAUACGACCUACGGGUGAAAGCAGGGGAUCUUCGGACCUUGCGCGAUUGAAUGAGCCGAUGUCGGAUUAGCUAGUUGGCGGGGUAAAGGCCCACCAAGGCGACGAUCCGUAGCUGGUCUGAGAGGAUGAUCAGCCACACUGGAACUGAGACACGGUCCAGACUCCUACGGGAGGCAGCAGUGGGGAAUAUUGGACAAUGGGCGCAAGCCUGAUCCAGCCAUACCGCGUGGGUGAAGAAUGCCUUCGGGUUGUAAAGCCCUUUUGUUGGGAAAGAAAAGCAGCAGGUUAAUACCCCGCUGUUCUGACGGUACCCAAAGAAUAAGCACCGGCUAACUUCGUG
rnacentral:rRNA from 1 species